rnacentral:rRNA from 1 species
UACGGAGGGUGCGAGCGUUGUCCGGAAUCACUGGGCGUAAAGGGCGCGUAGGUGGCGACCCAAGUCAACGGUGAAAGCUCGACGCUCAACGUCGAGUCGGCCGUCGAUACUGGGUUGCUCGAGCACUGUAGAGGCAGAUGGAAUUCCGGGUGUAGCGGUGGAAUGCGUAGAGAUCCGGAAGAACACCGGUGGCGAAGGCGGUCUGCUGGGCAGUAGCUGACACUGAGGCGCGACAGCGUGGGGAGCGAACAGG